rnacentral:ncRNA from 1 species
UUCUUCGGGGCAGGGGGCAGUUCCCGACCGGCGGUAUAGUCCGCGAGCGCCAUUGGGUGCUGAUUCGGUGAGAUUCCGGAACCGACAGUAUAGUCUGGAUGAGAGAAGAUA